GCCGGGCCUCGUGGUGCUUUGUUGCCGGAUUGCGGGCCACGUUAAAGAAGCCGCUAAAGAGGCGAGGGCGCACAGCCC
rnacentral:ncRNA from 2 species